AUGAACGCUGGCGGCGUGCCUAAUACAUGCCAGUCGAGCGAACAGACGAGGAGCUUGCUCCUCUGACGUUAGCGGCGGACGGGUGAGUAACACGUGGAUAACCUACCUAUAAGACUGGGAUAACUUCGGGAAACCGGAGCUAAUACCGGAUAAUAUAUUGAACCGCUUGGUUCAAUAGUGAAAGACGGUUUUGCUGUCACUUAUAGAUGGAUCCGCGCCGCAUUAGCUAGUUGGUAAGGUAACGGCUUACCAAGGCAACGAUGCGUAGCCGACCUGAGAGGGUGAUAGGCCACACUGGAACUGAGACACGGUCAAGACUCCUACGGGAGGCAGCAGUAGGGAAUCUUCCGCAAUGGGCGAAAGCCUGACGGAGCAACGCCGCGUGAGUGAUGAAGGUCUUCGGAUCGUAAAACUCUGUUAUUAGGGAAGAACAAAUGUGUAAGUAACUAUGCACGUCUUGACGGUACCUAAUCAGAAAGCCACGGCUAACUACGUG
rnacentral:rRNA from 1 species